GCAGAUUUGUGUGUGUUUGAGAGAGAGAGAGAGAGAGAGAGAGAAAGAGAGAGAGAGAAAGAAAGAGAGAGAGAGAGAAAAGCAUCUGGACUCUAUGAGGGAAAGUGCUGACACUAGAUAAGACUGUUUAUAACUGCUAGACUGCUAAUCGUGGGUGGAUAGUGGAAACAGACACAGACAGAGACAAAACGAGAGGGCGGGUUGGCAGGACAGCAAGACAAGGGAACUCUGUGGAGUGAUGUGAGAAAUAUGGAUACUACUGGAGAGUGGUGAAUAGCUUUAUUACAUUCAUCCUCUGAACAGUGAGGACAAGGCUAGGUCAGCGAUGCAGCACUGGCCGUUCCUCUUCACCAGAAUGUUGCGGCUCUUGAGGUCACGGUGGGCGAUGGCAGGCUUGCCCUGGGUGCCAAGGAUCUCCGUGUGCA